CCAGCAGGGCCUAGAGAUGCCAGGGGAGGACUCUAGGUGGCAACAAUACAUUGUUGAGCAGCAGCAGCUCCACUUGCAGAGGAGGUAGGUGGCUGCUGAGGAGGGAGGGGCUUUUGCUUUGUCCCCCUCAGCGUUCUAAGAACAUGGUGGCCUGAGCCUGGGAGCUGGAAGGGCUGCCUGUGGUGUGGUCCAUGUGUGUGCACUUAAGU
rnacentral:lncRNA from 1 species